GCCUAGUGAUAAUUGCCUGUCCUGCCUCUGUUCACAGGGAGCGAGCCUCAGUGCUUUGAACGUCUCCUGCCCCAUCACAGUGACUGCUCAAGGCAGGACACCUGAUCCCAUCGGAAUCCACCCACGGGUGGGCCCGGCCAAGCACUGUGCUAUUAGCUGUCUUUUACUGAGAGUCUAGGAUGUUCCAGUCACACGACAUGGAAUAUUUCUCAUCUUCACAGCAACUCUGCAAGAAGCAGCAAGUGAUUCUUGAACAUUUAUGCCAGAGAAAUGAAGACUUAUCUUGACAUAAAAAUGAAUGGACGUUUAUUUGUAAUAGCCAAACCUGGAAACAAUCCAAGUGUCCUUCAACAGAUAAUCCAAGACGGAGGAGAAGCAUCUCCAUGGCACCUCACUCUGAUUUGCGAGGAUUUGGCCAGAGAAACUGUUCUCAAGAGUGUGAAUUAGGUGGCAGCUACUAUUUUAUGGUAGCUCGCUAUCCACUUUGUAAGCAGAUGAAUUUGUGCAACUGGCCUAAUUUUAAUACAGGAUCCAACACAUAACAGAGUCUCCGAGAGCAGAGGGAGCACAUCCCCUGACACCUCGCACAUGGCAGUUGCUUCAUCAGUGCUGGUUGUGCUCCUGAGAACUCAGCAUGGAGAGAGGCCUGGUCCCCGCUCCCCUGCUCCCAAUUGCUCUGUGACUCAUUCUCACGGCUUGCCCUUCAGGUUCUGGUUCUUGAAUUUCUCCUGCUCCCUCCCACUCCCAGGCCUUUGCCAUGUCUCCCCUGUGCCUGGAACACUUUUUGAUGCAGGUCACCUCCAGGACUCUGCCACUUUCAAGUUGAGUGUUCCAGGUAGGUCACUGAACCCCUCUGAGUUUCAGUGUCUUUAUCUGUAAAGAUAAAAACUAGACAUAACCUUUGGCUGACUGGGAGAUUUGGGAUUGGAUAAGACAAGUACUGAGUCCAAGGCCUGGCUCUGAGUCCCUGCCCCAGGGACAGCAGCUCCUGUGAUUUUGGUUCAUCAUGGUAGGUCCCUCCUUCUCUCUCUGUUCUUGGGAACUGCCACCAUCCUUUCUGUUCUUUAACCUGCUUCUCCGCCAAUAAAGGCAGAGUGGAACACUCU